UUCAUUUUUAAAGAUUUUUUAAAAAUUUUAAAGAGAAAAAAAGCAAAAUAGAAAAAAGGGUAGAAAUAAUAAUUUCCAAAAAAAUGAACAAUAAGAAAUCACUGGUUGAUAAAUUACAUAUUGUCAUCUUAGAAAUAGUUGUUAAAGCUACAAAAUUAAAGCAUAUAAAGUGGAAAUUCAAAAAGUGAGACUGCAAACAGUCUCAGGAAUCCCUGAGCCUUAUCUGUGUUAUAUGUAUAUCCCAUACCCCACCUUCCAGUCAGAGGGACCCAGGCCAUCUAUGGUCAUGGACUUCUAUCCACGUCCUCAGAAUAAAGGCUGUUUUUUUUUUUUUUUUACUUUAUAUUCUCUCUUCACUGCACCAAAAACUCUUUCAAUGCAAUUAAUCAGAACAAAGCCAAACAGCAAUAAAAAUGUUUGCCUUCAAAGAGAUGGUAGAAGGAAAUUCCCUUUAUUUUCUAUGUUGCAUAGAUCAACCUCCCAAGAGAUACUCAGAUCUCUGGCUCCCAUUUGCUAAUGGGGGGAAGGGAGGAUGGGGUGUUUGAUUCUCAGCCCACAUGCAAGUAGACUCAUGGCCACAUUCCAGGGAGGGGAAGUGGUUGCUUGGUUUCCCAGAGCUCCAAGAUCCAACAUGGCAUGGAUCUUGGGAGACAUUGGUGGUUGUCUCCCUGGGGUGGACACAGCUUGCCUGAGCCACAGCCACUUAUUAGGGAGGCAAGAUGAUGGCUUGGUUUCCCAGCACCCCCACUUCCAACAUGGCAUGGAUCUCGGGAGACACUGAUGGUUGUGCUCCUGGGGCUGCCGCAGCUUGCCCAAGCCCUAGCCACUUAUUAGGGAGGUGAGCUCUUCCACUUAUUUUUAUAAUAGCAGUUACACAUUUUGGGUUUUGGGUUUUAUUACUUCUGAACUACAGUUCUUAUUACUAUUUACACUAGAGACACAAUGUGAUAUUCAUAAAUGUAUUUCUUAUUUAUUUCACUUAUGAGGAUAAUCUCAAGUUGCCUUCAUUUACUUAUGAAGGCCUCAAGAUAAUUCUUUUUUAUAGCUGAGUAAUAUUCCAUUGUAAAAAAUACCACAUCUUUUUCAUUCAUUCUGCAUUUGAUGGGCAUUUUGUUGUUUUCUACAUUAAGCUAUUGUUCAUUGGGCUGCUAUGAACAUGGGUGCACAUAUUUCAAUGUGACAUGACCUUUUCAGUUUUCCUAGGAAAAUAUCCAGGAGAGGAUUGGCUGGAUUGAAUGGAACUUCCAAUCCCAGGCUUCUGAGAAAUCUGAAUUCUGAUUUAGAUAGUAGCCACACAAGUCGACCCUCAUUAACAGUGGAGCAGUGUUCUUUUCCCCCAGCAGCUUCACCAACAUUUGAUUUCUUGAUGGUAGCUAUUCUUUCCAAAGUGAGAUGAAAUCUCAAUGCUGUUUUAAUGUGCAUCUAAAAAUGACCAGUGAUGGUGAACAUUUCUUCAUAUAUUUAUUUUCCAUUUACAUAUCUUCAUCUGAGAAAUGUAUAUUCGUCUCCAAUGUCCAUUUUUGGAGAGGGUCUUUUAAUUUGGGGGUCUUGAUGUUUUUCAGUUCUUUAUAUGUUCUGGAUAUAAGUACUUUGUCUGAGAGGUUCUAGCUAAAAUUCUUUCCCAUUCUUUGGGUUUUCCUUUCACUCUGUUGGUGAUUUCUUUUGAAGUGAAAAAUCUUUACCAUAAGAUGAGAUCCUGUGAGAGUUGACCCCCCUGCUAUAGCCCCCUCCCCGAGUUAUAAAAAGCAGCAAAGAAUGUUUCAUUCCCUAACUCCCCAGAGCCGGGAAUGAAAGGGUUAACUCCCUAACUCCCCAGAGCAGGGAAAUAAAAGGGUUAACUCCCUAGCUCCCCAGAGCUAUCAGAGCAGAGCAGAAAGAAAUGCCUAACUCCCCAGAGCUAUCAGAGCAGAGAAAAAAAAAAAAGAAAGAAUGCACCUGCAAGGUCGUUCUGUCUCAACGAGAUAAGUAAGACAAGUAACUGUUCUGUUCUGGGCACAUAGUGACUGGGCUAGGACCCCCAGUCUCCAUGGUUACUCAACCCCAAACCCCUCCAAUCAAUUUCUGCCAAAUCCUAUGCUGCUCAAAAUUAACCAAUGCGAUUUGCUUCUGUAAACUUGCUUGCCUCCCGCUUGUACCCUUAAAAACCCUACACAAAUUCCCCUCGAGGCCCUCCGCACUUGUUUGCCUGGGGGACCCCAUGCGCAUGGAAAUAAACUUUUUACUCCUCACUACGAGCUGAGUCCUUGGGGUCUUCUCCCCUGCGACACCGGUUCUUACAUAUGGAGGCCCCAGCGAGAUAGUACGUCUCAUGGGAGACGACCUCAACGGCUCCGCCUUACACCGCGGGUGAGUACGACCGGUCACUUUUGUUUACUUUCAUUUUGAGAUCGAUCUACCAGUACUUUACACCCCAAGCCGAGCGGCUCCAAUCUAGGGGCAAUUUCUGUUAUCUGUUCUCUGGUGACCGGGGGACGCCCCACACGGUUUUCCGUGACUCACCAUCUGCGAUAGGAUUUUCCUAUCGGUCUGGGGAAUUUCAUUCCCAAUCUGUGGUCCUUCUGGGCCAGUCUGGGGAAUUUCAUUCCCAAUCUGUGGUCCUUCUGGGCCAGUCUGGGGAAUUUCAUUCCCAAUCUGUGGUCCUUCUGGGCCAAUCUGGGGAAUUUCAUUCCCAAUCUGUGGUCCUUCUGGGCCAGUCUGGGGAAUUUCAUUCCCAAUCUGUGGUCCUUCUGGGCCAGUCUGGGGAAUUUCAUUCCCAAUCUGUGGUCCUUCUGGGCCAGUCUGGGGAAUUUCAUUCCCAAUCUGUGGUCCUUCUGGGCCAAUCUGGGGAAUUUCAUUCCCAAUCUGUGGUCCUUCUGGGCCAAUCUGGGGAAUUUCAUUCCCAAUCUGUGGUCCUCUGGGCCAAUCUGGGGAAUUUCAUUCCCAAUCUGUGGUCCGUCUGGGCCAAUCUGGGGAAUUUCAUUCCCAAUCUGUGGUCCGUCCGGGCCAAUCUGGAGGCACCCCCUAAGGUGACUCAUUUGGUGUGAAACUCAUGCGUGAGAGUGAGGUGGCCGGCCUGUUUGUCCUGUGUGUUGUGACUGUUGUGAUCGGUUAUUUGUUGUGUCGCGCGUACGCUAACCACUCUUUGUCUUCAGAACACCAUGGGACAAACGACAUCGUCCCCAUUGUCCCUCACCCUCGACCAUUGGUCAGAGGUUUGAGAGAGGGCUCACAAUCUCUCCUUACAGGUUAAAAAAGUAAAUGACAGACUUUCUGCUCGUCUGAGUGGCCCACAUUCUCCGUGGGUUGGCCACCAGAGGGGACUUUCCACCUUCCCCUCAUCUUAGCAAUUAAGAACAUCAUCUUCCGCCCCGGACGAAGAGGGCCACCCGGACCAGCAUGCCUACAUCUUGGUAUGGCAGGACCUCAGGAAAGAGCCCCCACCGUGGGUAAAACCCUUCCUUCCUCCGCCCUCUCCUUGGUUGCCUGUUUAAACUUGUUACUAACUUAGGGGCUUGUUGCCCAUUUCUGUUGCAGGAUCCAUAUGGCUUAUUAGAUUCAAGGUUCAUGAUAAGAAAAAUUAUUUCUUUUAGCUGACCAAACUAUGCAAGAAGCUCCCUUUGUUUGUGUCUUUAAUGUUGUGGCAUCUUGUUUAAUAUGUAAGACUUCAAUUGAUUGCUUGCAACCUCAACAUACCUUUUAAAAGGAGUAUUUUUUCCUCUCUGAUAAAAAUGUAAACAUGUGCACAUAUAUAUGUAUAUCUAUGGUUAUUAAGAAUCAUAUCAACUUUACCAAGUAAAAACCAGGUCAUACUAUAUUUGAGCCAGUUAAAAGGUUACAGUUUUGUUUUUAAAAUACAGCAUUUUUAUGUGGUAAAAAGACAUAAAAUAAGUAUGUUUUAGACUACUAAAAGGUGACUUCAAGGGUUUUGUUGAGAGUUUUGAUGUUGUCUGAGAAAUGAAAAAAAAGGUAAUUGACUGGUAAUAGUAAAAAGAGGGACAAAGAGAGUGGUCUUCAAGUAAAGGUGUCUGGCUAUGCCAGAAUGUAAAAAAAGAUUAAAGCUUAGUUUGAGAGGUAUUAUUGUAAGUUAUAAAAGGCUCAAGAGGAUGUGAAUUUUAUUUGUCUUGGUUUAUAGUACUACAAAUAACAGGUUUGACAAAAAGUAAAUGUGUUCAGAAUUUGACAGUAUUAGAUCAGUUUUGAUAAAAGUAUACAUAAGAUUGUACUUUGCUACAAAAUGUUUCCAUUAAAAUGAGAUUAUAGGUGAUACUACAAAUAAGAUACAAGUUCUUACAUGUACUGUGAACAUCUGGGAGAUUAUGCAGCACAAUUUUGUUACCUAUAAAAAAGCCCUUUCUGUUAAGAAUAUAAUUUUAAUAAAAUGAUGGCCUGCCACGUGACACCCUUGGACAAAAAACAGUGUGCCAUCCAGAUAAAGCCGGCUCUCUGAUCCGGAAUGCCAAAACCAUGUUCUCCUUUUGUGCCACCCUGACUGGACAUCCAGAGCCCUGCUUCUAGACCCAGAGUCAAUGAUAUUCAAGACUUCUUCAGCUUUAAACCCAGCCACCCUUAUGCCUGAUGAUGACCUGGAGGAACAAAGGACACCUCUCCAUGAGUGUGCUGACAUCCUCAAACUGCAGCGGAACCUACAGGCUGAUCUUACUGACCAGCUUUUGGAAAAUGCCCACAACUGUUCGAUGGAAGCAGCUUCAUCCAGAACGGCAGAGACAGAUGAGUGGCCGGGACAACAGUGACCACCAAAAAGGAGGUACUCUGGGUUAAAGGGUUAGAGCCUAGCACCUCUGCCCAAAAGGCGGAGCUCAUUGCUUUGACUGAUGUACUAAAACUAGCCACGAAAAAGAGGGUAAACAUCUAUACUGAUAGUACAUAUGCUUUUGCUACUAUACAUAUACAUAGAGCCAUCUAUUAAGAGCGAGGUCUCUUAACCUUGGCCAGAGCUAAGAUUAAAAAAAAAAAAAAAAGAGGGCUCCACAAAUCCUAAAUUUGCUGGCAGCAGUCUGGCUGUCAGCAGAUUGCUGCUAUUCACCUGAGGAAACAAUUUGGCAGAUCAGGCCGCUAAAAGAAUAACAAUCACAUCAGAGAGGCCAGCCAAAAAAAAAAAAAAAGUAACUGCUCUGACGCGAGUCCCCCCGACCUUAUCAAAACCAGUCUACACAAAAAAGACUACACUGGUUGUUGUGAGCCAUCUAACGGAUUCCAGUCCCUGUGACUAAAAGACAAGUACAAAAUUUCUAAGAGCCACAGGACUGAUCCAAAGUUUGGGACCCUGGCAGAGGCCUGUUGUCUACCUUUCCAAGAGACUUGGUUCUGUGGCAACCAGAUGGCCACCCUGUCUGCGGUGAUUUCUUCAAUGGCCCCCUCAUAAAGGAGGCUUAAAAAUUGACUUUUGGACACAAACUCUUAAUUGUUUCCUCCUAUUCACUGGAGACUCUCAUCAAGGCCCCACCAGACUGAUGGAUGUCUAAUUCCUGAGCCAUACAUUAUCAGGCACUAUUUCUAGAAACAACAGCUUCAAACUCGGCUACUUUGCUGCCUGAGGAUGACCCCUCGUUGCCUCAUUGAUCACCUCACGAAACAUCGACCUUAUGUAGUUGAUAAGCUACUGUCUAGAGUUCCAUCCUACUUCUCUGAUGAAAACAGUUAUGUCUCUCAAGAGCCCAUUUGCACUUAAAAAGACCAACAUCUGACAGCUCAACUUCCAAGAGAUUCCGGGGGCUAAUAUCAAGCUAGCCCAGUCUGUGAGCUUCAGAUGCCCUCAGUGCCAAUUGGUAAAUCUAAAAGUACUACAACAAAUAAAAACCACUGGUUAUCGUGGGACUAUGCCUAAAAACACUAAAAAAUAGAUUUUACAAAAAUAAAAAGCCUAAACUUCAAAAAUAUAAGUGUUUUCUACUUAGUCUGAGUCAGCUCUGAUAGCAGUUUCUCUGAUUUGGUCUCCCUUUUUAUCCGUGGGGUCCAACAAUGGCCUGGCUUUUAUAGCCUAGUAACUCAAAUUAACCUAAGCUUUACAGAUCAAUUAAAAAACUCGAUUGGGCUUACCAGCCUCAGAGUUCAAAAAAAGGUAAAAAGAUAAGUUAGAUUUUAAAGACUAUAAUUACUAAUGGCCUUAAAAACUGGCGAAAACUGGGUGAGUCUCUUUUCCUUCUGCCCCUUUACAUGCGUGAUACACCCCCUAUGUUACAGAUAUUUCCUCUUUUGAAGUUUUAUGUGAGGUUUCUAAAAAUUAGCUAAUUUAACUAAUCAAGAUCUUAUUAAGUCUCCCCAGACUUUUCAGCUAGCUGUGACUUCCAUCCACUGGUUACUUCGCUGCUGCCCACUGCAGCUAAAGAGCCUAGACACCUGGACAAGCGACCUCACCGUAAAUCUCUUGAGAGCGACCUCACCGUAAAUCUCUUGAGCCGCAAUAGAUUGUCAAAAUAGCUAAAAGCCUGCCUAAAUUCAACGUUCCCAAUGCAGACAAGUCCCAACUUCAAAAGACCGUCAGCCUACAAAUAAGUAAACUGUCAUUUCUUCCAAGGACACUUUAAAGCUUAAGAUUGUCUAAUAUAACUGAUAAUUUUAUGUUCUCCUCCUUUAUAGAGACCCCAAGGAGGCCUCUGUCUGACUUAAAAAUUGUUACUUAUAUGGUAAAACAGAGUAAAUUUAAAUGUUGGUUUUCUUUCUCCUUUUGGUUAACAGCUUUAAUGACAGCUACAAGACCUUUGUUAAUCCUCCUACUGGGCCUUAUGUUAUAAACAAGUUGAUAAACUAUGUCAAAGUUCUUAAAAGCUUGUAAUUUUAAAGACACAUACAAGGUUAUAAACAGAUGCAAUAAAAAAGCUAAGAAAAAAAAAAUUAAAUCUCAAGAGCCCCCUUCAAGUAAAGCCAAAAUGUUCUCCUUCUGGAAAUCAAUCCUGCCCUAUAUUCUCCCUUUACUGGGACCCCUGGCUGGAUUCAUUAUAGUCAUGGCUAUAGCCCCUUACCUCAUUAACCGAGUAACCCAGUUUGUGAGGGCUCAGAUCUCUCAAGUAAAGGUUAUGGUGCUACGUCAACAGUAUGACCCCUUACCAAUACAGGACCUUUAAGAUUAAAAGUCAUCGAAAAAAAAAGGGGGGGAAUGUGAGAGUUGACCCCCCUGCUAUAGCCCCCUCCCCGAGUUAUAAAAAGCAGCAAAGAAUGUUUCACUCCCUAACUCCCCAGAGCCGGGAAUGAAAGGGUUAACUCCCUAACUCCCCAGAGCAGGGAAAUAAAAGGGUUAACUCCCUAGCUCCCCAGAGCUAUCAGAGCAGAGCAGAAAGAAAUGCCUAACUCCCCAGAGCUAUCAGAGCAGAGAAAAAAAAAAAGAAAGAAUGCACCUGCAAGGUCGUUCUGUCUCAACGAGAUAAGUAAGACAAGUAACUGUUCUGUUCUGGGCACAUAGUGACUGGGCUAGGACCCCCAGUCUCCAUGGUUACUCAACCCCAAACCCCUCCAGUCAAUUUCUGCCAAAUCCUAUGCUGCUCAAAAUUAACCAAUGCGAUUUGCUUCUGUAAACUUGCUUGCCUCCCGCUUGUACCCUUAAAAACCCUACACAAAUUCCCCUCGAGGCCCUCCGCACUUGUUUGCCUGGGGGACCCCAUGCGCAUGGAAAUAAACUUUUUACUCCUCA